rnacentral:rRNA from 1 species
UACGUAGGGUGCGAGCGUUAAUCGGAAUUACUGGGCGUAAAGCGUGCGCAGGCGGCUUUGCAAGACAGAUGUGAAAUCCCCGGGCUUAACCUGGGAACUGCAUUUGUGACUGCAUGGCUGGAGUGCGGCAGAGGGGGAUGGAAUUCCGCGUGUAGCAGUGAAAUGCGUAGAUAUGCGGAGGAACACCGAUGGCGAAGGCAGCCCCCUGGGCUAACACUGACGCUCAUGCACGAAAGCGUGGGGAGCAAACAGG